GCGGGUAUAGCUCAGUGGUAGAGCAUUUUACUCCAGAUCAAGAGGUACCAGGUUCAAAUCCUUGUGCCCCCU
rnacentral:tRNA from 1 species